UACGUAGGGUGCAAGCGUUAUCCGGAAUACUGGGCGUAAAGCGUGCGCAGGCGGUGAUGUAAGACAGAUGUGAAAUCCCCGGGCUCAACCUGGGAACUGCAUUUGUGACUGCAUCGCUGGAGUACGGCAGAGGGGGAUGGAAUUCCGCGUGUAGCAGUGAAAUGCGUAGAUAUGCGGAGGAACACCGAUGGCGAAGGCAAUCCCCUGGGCCUGUACUGACGCUCAUGCACGAAAGCGUGGGGAGCAAACAGG
rnacentral:rRNA from 1 species